rnacentral:rRNA from 1 species
AUUGAACGCUGGCGGCAUGCUUUACACAUGCAAGUCGAACGGUAACAGGGAGCUUGCUCCGCUGACGAGUGGCGAACGGGUGAGUAAUGCGUCGGAACGUGCCGAGUAGUGGGGGAUAACGCAGCGAAAGUUGUGCUAAUACCGCAUACGUACUGAGGUAGAAAGUGGGGGACCUUCGGGCCUCACGCUAUUCGAGCGGCCGACGUCUGAUUAGCUAGUAGGUGAGGUAAAGGCUCACCUAGGCGACGAUCAGUAGCGGGUCUGAGAGGAUGAUCCGCCACACGGGGACUGCGGCACGGCCCCGACCCCUACGGUGGGCAGCAGUGGGGAAUUUUGGACAAUGGGCGAAAGCCUGAUCCAGCCAUGCCGCGUGUCUGAAGAAGGCCUUCGGGUUGUAAAGGACUUUUGUCGGGGAGGAAAUCCCCAGCGCUAAUACCGCUGGGGGAUGACAGUACCUGAAGAAUAAGCACCGGCUAACUACGUGCCAGCCGCCGCGGUAACAC